rnacentral:rRNA from 1 species
UGCCAGCAGCCGCGGUAAUACGAAGGUGGCAAGCGUUGCUCGGAAUUACUGGGCAUAAAGAGCGCGUAGGUGGCGCAGUAAGUCGGUAGUGAAAUCCUAUGGCUCACCCAUAGAACUGCUAACGAUACUGCUGUGCUUGAGGGCAGGAGGGGAAAGUGGAACUCCAGGUGUAGCGGUGAAAUGCGUAGAUAUCUGGAGGAACGCCGGUGGCGAAAGCGACUUUCUGGACUGUUCCUGACACUGAGGCGCGAAAGCGUGGGUAGCGAACAGGAUUAGAUA